AAUAUAUGGAUGGAUUUAGCACUGAAUCCAAAUAUGCAGGAAAGACCUACAAAGCAAAUGCUGCAUCAGAGAAUUAAACACUACCGCAAGUCUGCAACUACAUAAUCAAAUCAAACUCAACCAAAUCAAACCAGUCGAAGUUCUUGUUGCAGGCAAGAAUGUACAAAAGGCAUAUACCAAUCAGCCGGAUGACCUCCUCCACGAGUGGACUCUGCUCGUCGGCCGCUGCUGUCUUGACCCGGAGCUCCUCACCGGCGAGUGCGUCACCUCCACAAUGUCUUGGUGAGUCCUCCUUUAAUUGGUGACGGCCAUCGGCAUCCAAACAACAGUCAGUUCACAGGGUUAAUUAUAUCUUUCUUCUUCCCAUACAAGGAUCUGCAAACAAGUCAAGUUUAUUCAGGAAUUAGCAGCUCACUUUUAUUCACACAACAGGAGGUCACUUCAGACAAGGAUGUAAAUUAGCUAUGACAUUCCACACAAAACAACACGUGCACAGAGAAAGUCAAGUCUACAGAAUUGCCUACCUUCACAAAAUUUCUUUGUUGGUCCAGUAUUUUUCUCUGCAACUUGCAA
rnacentral:lncRNA from 1 species